AGACAUUGAGUCUUGAAGACUCAAAAAAUAAAAAAUUCUCUUGAAUUGGCUACCAAGUCUUAAAAGUUUGAAACCUGUUAGGGAUGGUUCGGGUCACAUUCAUGGUGACUUUUCAAACAAGAAUUAGUGAUUAAAUAUAGUUCUGAUCACAAUUUAAAUUNCAUGGGGGGAGAGAAAAUUAAUCUAGUGCUAUAUGCUUCAUAUAUCCAAGGGUCAUUAAACAUUCGUGCUUGUUGUCGUGUGUUAUUGUCGUGCAUACAAUCAUUUCUCAUUUUUUAAAUGGGACUCACUCAUCAACUAUUAAUAAAUUCAUAUCACUACAUUUCAAUUUGUCAAUAUUAAAAGAAAUAUGGAUCUUACUUAACAUUUAGGUUUUAAAUGAGACAUUGAGUCUUGUAAGACUCAAAAAACUUCUCUCUCAAAUGAGGUACCUAAUAGAUAUUAAGUCUUAAAAAUUUGAAACCUAUUAGGGAUGGUAUGGGUCACAUUCAUGGUGACUUUUCAAACAAGAAUUAGUGAUUAAAUAUAGUUCUGAUCACAAUUUAAAUUGUUGGUGGGAAUACUUUUUCAAUUUUUGGGGUUCUAUAAAUUGGCUACAUCUAUCAACCAUGUGAUAGCACAUAACCACUUACAUUUUUUUAGAAGACAAAAAAAGGUGAUGGAGAGGAAAACACUUGCUAGCUUGUGCUUCUUUCUCAUUUUUCUCUUAGCUGCUCGUAAGUUUAUAUUAUAGUAAUUUGGGAUAUCAUUUUGUAUUUUAGUCAUUGUGUUUAACUCAUAAAACCAUUUUUUAGUACAAUACUUUUUAUUAGAAAAUAAAAACAUGUAUGCAAGCUAUAAUUUAGAGUUUAAUUUUUAUAUGUUUACGAUUUUUAAAGAAUAAUUUUUCAGUUCAGUAAUUAUAAAUAUAUAUACAUAUAUUUUUUUUGAGAGAAUGAAUAUAUCUAUAUAUGUAUGUACAUAUACAUAUAUAUAUAUAUAUAUAUAUAUAUGAUUAUUCAUGAUUGCUUGACACUUUCAAUCAGAUUUUUAAAUACUUGAUUGUAAAUUCUAAUUGAAAUAAUCUUGGUAAAAUUUACUUUUCUCUCGAUCAAAUUAUAUAUCACUAUGGCCAUCUUCCUUAUGAAUUGAAGAAGGAAAACAUAAAAACAAAUCUUAAAUUUGAUGCAACAAUUUUUUUUCUAUUUAGAAAAAAAUAGAAAUAUAGCAUUAGAAAAUGAUGAAAAGUGAUAAAUUUAACUUUUUAAAAGUCAAAAUAUUGUUGAAACUAAUACAGACAUGCUACUUUUGGCUUCCUUAAUCAUUGCCCCGAGGGUAAUGGUUAGCAAGACCCUAAUAAUAAUAAUAAUAAUUUUGUCAAAAAAAAUAAUAUACUAAUAAUAAAAAAGUUUUUCUAUCAUAUGCAAAUUAAUUUAAAAUAGUAAUUUUGUUACCUAUCGAGUGAGACACCAAAUCAGCACUUUUUUAUAUGUUCAUGGAAUAAAUCAUUGAUCAAGAGAAUUAAUUAAUAUAUGGAGUAAUAUGUGUGAUAAGAUAGCAUGUUGUCUUAUUAAAUAAAAUAUGUGUUAUUCUUCAAAAAAAAAAAAUGUGUUAAUUAUAUUUGUAGUGUUUUUUUUAAAAAAAAAAAACAAAAUGAUAUUCAUUCAUUCAAAUCGAGAGAUUACAUCAUUCAACACCGCUAAAAACGUAAAGAAUGAAUCUGCGAACAAAGUCACAGCAUCCAAGUUAAUAGCAUAUAACGGCAUAAUGCCUACAAAAAUAUAUGAUGAAAUUAAAGUGACCGGAAUAUCCAUUGCCUCCGGAUCUGCAACGUUGACGCCCAAAUCUUUGAUUGAACAAUCGAUCUUUCAAUAUGAAUCAAUUGAACACCGCAUGAAGAUGGAAAAUCAAACAACGCCGCACAAGACGACGAACAACAAAUCACCACACUUAGAUGAUGAAAUUGCAAAGAAAAAAAAUCUAGAUCUAUGUGAAAAUCACUUAUUUAGAUUGAAAUAAAGAGAAAAAGAUGAAGAAAGGUGAUUUCAAGUCAAUAAUUGAUCCAAAACCACCCCUCAAUGAAGAAACGAAAACCUAGAGAGAGAAAACUAGAGCUGACUUGUUUAUAUUUAUAGUGUUAUAUUUCUUUGCUCAAAAUCGAUAGACCAACGUAGUGUAACAAAACUAAAAGUUAAGAACAAAAAUAUAAAUGGGCAUGUAUAAGACAAAAUAAAACAAAAAUAUGAUCAAGAUUUAUGAGAAUUGUUCAAACUCUUAAAGAUAAAAUUAUGUGGUUUGCAAUUGCAGUUGCACACAUUCAUGUUGGUCUUUUUCCAUGAAGAGAGAAAAAAUUAUUAAAAUUUCGGAAACCGUAAAAUUGUGUCAGAUGUCAAGCUUUGACAUCUGGAAAAUAUUUAUGUAAGAUAUCUCGUGGAAUUUGUACCUACAAAAUAUAGGACCCCCAGCCCGCGCCAAACAUGUCAAAUUUUUUAGCCCCGCUAAUCUCUUUGUGAUACGAUAAAUACAAAGUCACUUGCACGAGCUCUUUGAGCUAUAAGGCUUUUUCUACCUUAAAAUUGAAACACAUUUCUCUUGCCUUAAUUUCAAUACCAAAAAUGAAGUCAUAGCUAGAGUCUUCAACUCCAUUGGUUCUUAGCUUCAUCUAAUUUCAUUUUCUGCUGUUUGAUGCGAUCAGUCUCAUUCUAAUUGCACUUUUUAGAUGUCUGAAUAACAGAUUUACAACAAAAUAAGUAAUAAACAAAGUUGAAGAAAUUCAGAACCAAUUGUAAAGACUUAACCCAUCAAUCAUUUAGGCAGAGGAUAAAGAAGUAAGCAACUCAAGCAUGCAUAAGGAGAUUGAAAAAGUUUACGAAACAUCACAAGUAAACUUAUAUCAGUAUCGACAUUAAAAUCUGCUGAAGUAUAUGCAAGAGCACCGUGAAGUGAAUCUUCUUUUCCAACACUAGGAAGCGGAAGAAAUUCCUUUCUCGCAGCAGCUUGCAAGUGGUUAAUAGUCUUUGCAUUCUCAGGAAUGUAACCUUCUUCAUCGUAGUUAACAAAAGGUGACAAGUAAGGUGGAGGAGUGCUGUUAACAAAAGAAAAAUUUUAGGUUUUUAACGUUUAGCAAUUAAAAUUUCAAUUAGAAACAAAUUAAUCAAACAAAAUGAAAAGAAAAAAGGAUGUGUGGAUUUGUGAUUCCACAAGAAGAUAUCCCUUGAAGAAAAAACAAAUUUGCUCAGAAUAUAAUAUAGGACACUCCUACCAUAUAAGUUUCUAUCGGAAAAAUUAUGCGUGCAUUGACACAAUCAAAUAUCAUAUAUAUUUUUGGUUUUGGUGUUUUCUCCCGUAACCUGUCUGUACGUUCGUAGUUUUUCUUUGUCUCGGCUUUCUUUAUUUUUCUGUCAUGCACUCUAAUUGUUCUAUGUUCUUCCAGCAAAGGUUCACGAUAAAGAAAGCUAACAUCUUUCAAAUGGUAAUAAGUCUGAUGAGUUCCCUUGACCUUUUUCUUAGGCUGCCGGGGUGUUACAGCUUUUGAAAUGCUUAGUUUCCUAAUAUUUGCAAAAGCCAACGUAAAAAUCGAAGUAGUAACACUUCAACACAUUAUAUAGAUGCAUUUUCCGAAUGACAACAGAUCAGUAAUGCCAGAAAUUACAAAUUUGGCAGCAUUUCCCUCCUUUUUCUUCCCCUACGAUACAAAAGUAACAACAUUAAGGGCAUGUUUGGUUUGAAUUUGUCAGAAUACAUUCAGAGCUAAAGUACUUUCCUAUAAAACAUACGUUUGUAUGGACCCUGAUACUUUUUCAUUCUCCUCUUGCCGUUUGAGUUGUUCCAUUUACCAUUUGAACAUAUAUUAUGUUGUUGCAGUAAUGCGAUUUUUUUGGUAAUUACAUAUCCAAAAGUACUUUCAAUAACUAUUAUAUCUAAAUGAAUUACCUUUCAUCAUACAUGCUUUUGACAAGGGUCCCAAACAUAAACAACGCUAGAGCUGACUCAUUUUAAUCAAACUUGAUUUUAUAAAAUGAGGCUUGAUCAAACUAAUAUAGCUAACUUUAAUCCUAACAUGCCUCAAAUAUAUGAAAAGGGCUGACUUUCGUCUAGAAAAUUUUCAUUCUUCUUUUCUAACUAGUUACGGUUAAAAACUAUAAAUUCCAAAAAAACCAAAAAAUAUAUCUACAAAUAUCUGCCUUCGACGCCAACUAAAGCAGAGAGUGUAGCAUCGACACUUCAGAUGGAAGACAUGUCCACGCCAACACAAGUAAACACGUUUAAUCAGUGUUGAUGUGUCAGUGUCCGUGUUUGUGUUUCGUAUGCAAAAAGAAAUAACAAUUAACAAUAAGCUCCAACAUUUCAGCAGAAAAAUAUAAUAAUAGCUGAAACUUUUAAGCUUGAGACCCUAAUUUGAUUAUGAACUUUGUGGCAUUAACACUUCUAAUCGAAAGUGUGUCUGGUUUCCGAUGACGUCCGAUGCGAACGUGACUUUGACACAUAUGAUUUUAUUGAACCUUGAAAUUUGGUCAUUUUCCGGCUCUGUAGUGUUUCACCAUUGUUGUUGAUGAAAGUGAAACCACCAUUGGUGACAUUUUUAUUUGGAUGGUGAUAUGUAAGGUUUGAGUCAGGACUAAUGCUUCUUUCCAGGUUUUGAAGAGGUGAUUAGGAGAGUUUGGGAUAAAAAAUAAGUUUGGAAACUCACUAUUCGGCCGCCUAAUGAUCAAUUAAUAAUAAGCCUAAAGAAUUUGAUGUGAUCUUUGAAAGAAGAAAACAUAUCAGAUCCAAUAAAAUAUUACUAAAAUUUAUUAUCGGUCUAAGGUAAUUAAAAAAAAAUGUUGGCUAUUUUAUUGGACCGACAACAUUUAAAAUGGACACAAUUUAUUACUAUAAUUUAUUACUAAAAUUUACUAACAUUUAAAAUGGAAAUUCUUAAUUUGUGGAGCAAUUUAGUAAAGUAAGAAUUGCGGUCUUAUCACUUUUAGCAAGAAUAUUCACUAAUCAACUAUUAAUAAAUAAAUAUCACUAUAUUUCAAUUUUUCAAUAUUAAAAAAAAUGUGAAUCUUACCUAACAUUGAGGUUUAAAUGAGACAUUGAGUCUUGAAGACUCAAAAAAUAAAAAAUUCUCUUGAAUUGGCUACCAAGUCUUAAAAGUUUGAAACCUGUUAGGGAUGGUUCGGGUCACAUUCAUGGUGACUUUUCAAACAAGAAUUAGUGAUUAAAUAUAGUUCUGAUCACAAUUUAAAUUGAUGGUGGGAAUACUUUUUCAAUUUUUGGGGUUCUAUAAAUUGGCUACAUCUAUCAACAAUGU
rnacentral:lncRNA from 1 species